rnacentral:lncRNA from 1 species
UGUUAUUGGUUUCUUCACAUCCCAUGAACUAGUCUUGUACCCAGAGGCGAAUUUAUGAUUUUUGAAUAAGGUGCACCAAGUAAAUGUAUUGAAGUGGGAAUUGAUCCUUAAUUCUUGAGGUCAAAAGCUCAACAUUAAAUCAUGUGGACCAUUUAGACUUCUUGUAGUACGGGUGUUGGUGCCCUAUUUUUGGCUCUAAAUUCGCCACUGCUUGUACCAUGUUGGGUUCCUUUCUCCGUUUAAUUGUUGCGCAUCUUUCCUCCUGUUUUAGUUUCUUUGUUUUCUAAGAAAUAAAUUUGACUUUUGUGUUUAGUGUGGUCGUGCUAUUUUUCCUGAUAUAGCAAAGUCACUUAAAGUAAAUAUUUGGUUUUCAAAGUUUGUCUCUGUCCAACCAUGGUGUUAUGAUUGAAUUUGAAUAUUUUGCAUAAUUUGCUUUAAUUGUUAGCAUCAUUUAUUAGCAUGCAUGCAUUUAUUUAUUAAAUUGUUAGUUAGUAUAUAUGUUGUCAUGGGUUUCAAGUGUUAAAACGGGGCUUAAGUAGUCAUUACAUUAUCAUUAGCAUGACUUGGGUCUUUAAUGCCUUUGGAAUUUGUAUUCUUUUAUCCAGAUCUAUGCCGUUUAGUUCAAUUGAAUUAUUUGCUUUAUAUUAGUUUAGGAGCUGUUGUGAUAAUCUGUCUUAGAUACAUUAUUACUAUAUUAUUUUCGGAUGCUAAUUUUAUCCUCAUUUUUGUUGCAUGUGAAACUCCAUCCGAGUUCAUUUUGGACCCCACUCUUGCAUAUCCUUGAGUCAUUUCGAGUUAUCCUCGUAUUUGCGGUGAAAAUGGAGCUGCUACAGGUUUCGAAAAGCAGAAAAAUGGGUUGUAUACUUAUGAUAUACAGAUGUAUACAUGUAGUGUAUACACUAUGGGAAUGUGCCAAACCCAUGAAUUUCAGCAUUUGUUGCAGAUGGGCCAGGCCCAAAACGCAA